rnacentral:lncRNA from 1 species
UCAUCAUUCCAUCAACUAUUCUUAAAGUCACCUUUCAUACUUCCAAUCUAUAAGUACCUAAUUAAUAUGCUGUAGCAAUCAAAAACUGCAUUUCACAUUAACCCAAAUAAUGUUAACCAUUACCAACUCAUUGUAGCAUUACCUAUCACAAUAUAAAUACAUUGUCUAAGACACAUAUCUUAAUACUUUACAUCACAUGAACGUAUUCACAAACAAAAUGACUCUCGGCUUCCAACGGAAUGGCCAAGGUGAAAGGACAGCUACCGAAUGCCAACAUACCUACCAAGAUAGACAAAACUAUGUGGACGCCUCGACCUAGGUUCCAACUGGCUCUUGAUCUGAAAACAUGAAGUUGAAAACAGUGAGUACAAACUCAGGGAGUAAACAUAAGAAGGGAACAAGCAACAAUAAGGAAAGUUUAAAGAAAUCAUGAUGCACUUAUUUUCAAAACAAUGCAAUUUAGUUUAGUUCUUAUUAAAUCCCUCCAUUAAACCCCUGGUUAUUAAAUCUUUUAAUAAUGAAGGAACCAUAUUCAGCAUGAAAUUGGAAAGAGAGGAAAUUUUUAGCAAUCAUCCAAGCAAGGCAGUAUAAACCGAGUGUUUCUCGCUGCAAUAAAAUUAAUUUACAAGUAAAUGGGAAAUUUUCAAGAUUCAUUAUGCCAUACAAUCACAAACACUAUCAUAAACUUUCUAUAACAUUUAUAUAUACACAUACACCAUCAUGCAUACCAUCCCUCCAUACUCAGCUCAUGUGCACUCCCUACUCGCACAUGGCCAGGUCAUCAUCAGCUCAUGUGCACUUCUACACCGCACAUAGCUAGGUCAUCAUCAGCUCAUGUGCACUCCCAUAAGCACAUAGCUGGGUCAUCAUUAUCACACAAAAAGGAACAUCCAAUGCAUAAUAUACAUAUUCAUACAAUAUGAUAACGUAGGAACCAUUUAUAUGGAACACUUUCAAAAGAUAAAAAUAUUUCACCACAAGUUUGUUCCCCAAGUAUUUUUAUUUUUAUUUAUUUUUAGCAAGAACAAAAGGGCUUUCAAAUGAUUCAUUUAAACAUAUAGGUACUUCCCAACACAUUUUGAAAUGCAAGUUCUGUCACGACCCGGAACUCCCAUCGAGCCCAUGACAACCGCCGCGACGUCUCGAUACACAUUCAUUACCCGGAAUAUCAAUCGAAACCUCGCAAGGCUUAACAUUAGUUUUUCUCGCUUCCCCUGUGAAUAUUAUUCACUAAAAUUAUGUUUUGAGAGAUUAUAAACAUUUUCCAAAUCAAAACAAUAGAAAAACAAUUUUUUUCUCACAGGGGCAUUUUGGUCAUUUUUCAAAAAUCUCAAAAUCCGCUAAAAAUGUAGUAUGUGAGUACAAAACACAUAAUUCAUAAUCAAAAAUAAAUUUGGAUGUCUAAAACAUUCGUUUAAAAUGAAAUUAUAACUAUUAGAAUAAAAUAAAAAUAUUGAAUAAAAUAUUCAAUUUUCUCAUAAAACAAUAUUUUUAGAACACUAUAUAAAUAAUUUAUACAGCGUAAAAGUAAAAUAAAUUCAUAUAUAUAUCGUAAUACAGUAAGCCAGAGUAUUUAAUUUAAUUUACAGUAACAAGUGGGCCCACGAACGACCAAAAGUAUUAAAAGCAGUAAACCUACAGUUUGGAGGAUGCAAAUCCAAUGGUGGUCCUCGAUGAAAUCAGCUAUCUAUAAACUAUUCUGAGCCUGAAAUUGGUGGAAAUGAGGGUGGUGAGAUUUUAUAAUCCCAAUGAGCAAAAAAAUACCAUUUAAAAUAUCAAAAGCCAAGUAAAUGGAGACAAAUAAAACAGUUUAACAUAGUGUAAUUCAUCACCUUUCAACUUGUUUCAUCCAAAUAAAAUCAAUUCAUAUAAAUCUAGUAAUCAACAUGGCUUAUGAAUUUCUUAAAAGCUUUGGCUCGUGCCAAUAUCAUUCUCAUACCCAGUUAUCAGGGAUGCCUUGAUCGAGGGCUAUCCCAACCGAGUUCACCAAGGCUGUUAAAAGGUUAUGUACACAUAAAUCAUGUUUUUAUUUUGAAAACAUAGCCGUUCCUUGGUGUUGGCUGAGUUCCCCCUCACGUGGUGGUCUGACUUGAAGUGAACUCCAAAAGUGUUAACCUCAGGAGUUAUCCACCAGAGCCUCUCAUAUUGAGGUAAGAUAUAACGGGAUCGUGCCCCUCUAAUAGGCUGGUCCACGGAAACUCAUCCACUGCAAUAAGCUAAUAAUUAUCCCACCAAUCAAUAAAAUUCAAUAACAUGAUAUGGCAAUUAUUGUAAUUCAUAGCCUUUCAAGGCUAAAUACACAGUUCAUAUAUUUCAACACAAAUACCAAUUCAGCCAUUCAUGCAAAUAUUGUCAUAAGCCAUUCGAUUCAAACCAUGAAUUUACAACACAUGAAAUGGUCUCCAAUUACUCUAUUUUAAAGUCAUUAUUCAAUUUUAAAACAAUUUUAUGAAAUCAUUUCAUUAAAUCACAUUUGGUUUAUAAAACCAAAAAAUGAAUCAUUUAAUUAAUUUUCCAUGAAAUUCACAAAAUCAGAUAAAAACCAGUUUAGAUAAUUAAGACAAUAGCAAGUUUACUCACUAUGUCUAAAGUGUGGAUUUUCGAAGUACUCUGACUUCUGGUCCUCGGAUGCAAUUUUCUUGCCUUUAUCGAAGGACUCACCACCUUGACAUAGUACAAAAUCGAGAAACUUACUACAUUGGUACUAAAUUGAAAUUAAACUAAUUUAGACUACUACUGCAUGAUAUGGAAUGCAAAAUGCACGGGUAACCAUCUAAACCCAAUAUUGGCCUAAUUCGUCUUAUCACUCGAUUAAUUGGCCAACGAGUCCAAUUUAGCUCUAAAUUGCUCCAUUUCUUUUCCAAUACCUUAAUUCACCAAACACAAGUCAAAUAACCUAAAAUUUGGCAAAACCAUCUUCACUUUUCUUCUUAGAAUUUUCGGUCAAUAAUGGUGCAUUAACACCGUGAUUUUUCCUACUACUUUUUCACACCAUAAUUCAUCAUUUUCUAACCAAUUCUCUUAAAAUAAAAAAUCAAAUUCAUCCUCACUCAAUACAAGGUAGGUUCGACCAUUGAUGGGUGAUGGGGAAAAUGAAUUCUUUUCUUAUUGUUUUGCUUCUAGACAUGGUAAACUAACUAAAAACACUAACAUAACUUGAAAUCAAAUCAAUCCAACAUCAUUCUCUCUCCAUACCCAUUCGGCUAGCCAUGAAUUCACCAUGAAAACAUGAAAUUUAACCAUGGAAAAUAAGGAGAAAUGCUUAAGGAAAUAGAUUUCAAGUUUAAAUUGAAAAAUCCUACCUUUUUCACUUGUUUUCCUUGAUUUUCCACACUUUUUCUCUUGAAAUUCUCCACCUAGGGUUCUUGUUCUUUCUUUUCUUCCUUUGUUUCUCUUUG